GGAAACGAAAGGAAAGAGAGUGAAACUGACGUCCAAACCUUAUCGGAAAAUAGGCAAAACGGGUGACUUAAAAAUCACUUUACUAUCUCCGGCCCUUCACUCCUGAAAAUGUACAGACAUGCUUCACUGACAUUUCACUUUGAAGCAGGACAAGCUACGAAGAAGCACUCACUCCACGAGCUUCCUGCCUCUCACACCUUCCUCUAUUCCCAGGAAAGGACAAACCCUAGAGAAGAGGCCCUUCCGGUCCCAAAGAAGUCUGUAGCCCAGGCUGUCCCCACAGGAGGCUGAGCCCUGAGCAUGUCCACCUGGGCAUCAGCACCAGGAUCACCCUAGUCUCAACUCUGGGCUUUCAGACCGAAUUCCCAAACCAAGAUGCAAGAUCCUGGCUGUUCAAUUAACAUUUUCACUUCCACUUCCCAACAAAUCAGCCUUUUGCCUUGGAAUCAUAGCAAGUGGGUUACUUGGGUGCCCCUUUGCUUUGGCACUGGAGAAGCUUGGGCUGGGUUUCAUGAGCAACAGCAGCAUUGAUGUCAACCUUUGGUUUUGUCAUCAAUUUCAUGUAUGUAUGACGGCACAUGAUCUUGUCUUACACUUGAAAGAAUUUAAGGUAACUUACAAAUAUGUAGGUGGAAAACUUGGGGUGGAUAGAAAAAGAGUGGGGAACAUCUACAAUGAAGAGGACCCAUGGUUAACACACAUGGAAACCACACCCUGGGACUGACAGAUGGACGGACGGGUGAACUGACAGAAGGACAGAGAGAUGGACAGACGUGAAGAUGGAACAAAUGACCACACAUGUGUUGCAUUUCCCAAAAGCUAAGGCAAAUGCAUGACCAGUCCUGUGAUUCGGGAAUUUACAGGCGGCGGGCAGAGGCUGUGGCAGGUGCCACCAAGACUCUUGACAACAUUCUCAUUCCAGCGAUGGUUUCACAGACAUUCCCUGCUCCCAAGGGACGGCAACGCCAUGGCACCAAAGCAUCAUCAACGAAGAUGCAGGGUGAGGUGCGGAGGACAUCUUCAAGACGACCCAGCGAUCGGCCCACAGAGCACUCUCAAUUUAGGAAGAAAUUUCAGAGUCUCCCAAUGGGAGGCCUUGCCCAAAGAUCCCUCCUCUAAGAACGUGGCACAGACGCUCUCACAAGAUCCUGUGGCAGUGUGCCCGGGGCCGACAGUUACACACAAAGUUACAGGUUGUGAGGUGUGGAGAACUAGGAGAUGUGACAGAAACCCACCCUCCUGACACCCCCAAGCAUGACACCUCAGACAACACCAAAAAUCUUCCAAAAGGUAAUUGUAGGUCCACUUCCAGCCCCACAGAUCUGCACCGCACAGAAAGGUCCCAGGAUUUACAUUGGUAUAUCAUUAAAACAGGUGUAUCAGACACGAGGUUUAGUCACGAACCCUCUCAGCACAGAAGCAUCCACAAACACGCAGCCUUGAGCUAUAAAAUUUCCUUAUGUCUCCACAUUUAGCUGUGCAUAAACCAUAAACCUAGGUAAAUACAUAGAUUAACCUGCUCUGGGGUUAACAGGGCUGCCAUCUAUAAACGUGCAAUUUCCGCUCUGCACAGAAGUGCCUGGCCCAGAAGGAAUGGGGCUGACCCUGUUUUCAUUCGGGGGUUGCAUUUCCUGCAUGGGGUCACGCUCUUCCACUCAGCACAAAGACAGCAUCUAUGCUAGAAGCAGGCCUCAUUAAAUAAAAGACCUGUGGUCCUAAUACUAUUGAUCCAUGCAUGCCCCUUGUUCUGGCAGGAAUUAAAUAGCACAACCAAUUUUCCAAUAAAAGCAUUUCCAGAUUAUGAAAUAAAGCCCUUUUAAGCAUGUGAGGAAUGUGGCUUUUUUUCUCUUUGGUUGGUGGGGAGGGAAGACGAUGCAGGAGAAGAGGCCCCAGCUCACUGAAAGCGGGUAUGGAGUCUUUAGAGACCAUCAUGAGAGGAGGCUCCGGGCGGCUGCCUCCACUUCCUUCCUCCAGCUCAGCCCUGGCUUUGCUUUCACUGUUCUUGCUGCGUGAAUCACAUCAUAUGGAAUUCUAUUUGCACAACCCCAGUUCUUUUUAGAAAGA